GCCGGUGUAGUUUAACUGCCAGAACGGCUGACUCGUACUCAGCAGGUGGAGUGUUCAAGUCCUCCCGCCGGCUCCA
rnacentral:tRNA from 1 species